UCUCUCUCUCUCUCACACACACACACACAUUUUUCCUUUGAGGUUACAAACGCGAGGACUAGCUGUUGUUGCCUUGUAUGGUCAAGCCACCAUUGCACCAGACACGCAAAUACACAUUGCUCUCAGAUUCUUUUGGUGGGGUUUGCAAGUAGAGAGAUCGCAUUUAGGAAUUGUAUUUUGCCAUCAUACAGAAUGGCACAAGAUGAGGCAAUAGGUGUGUGGUGCAGAUGCUCUCCAACCAUUUGAAUCUGCAGUUCUCCACAACUCAUUUACAACAAAAGCCUUGAGUAGUAGCACUGAUGUCACUAUAAGAUAUAAUUUUGUAAAAAUCCAAAUAAGCAUUGUAUAUACAAUUCAGUUCAUUAAGCAUAACUCAAUCUAUAGGCCGAAUGAAUUGAAACUGAAAAUAUAGGUGAUGCACCAAAUUUUUAUCUAGGAAAAUUGGGGCAUUUCUUUUUAGCAUUACUCCUUAUACAUUAAAUAUUAUGUGCCAAAACAGGAUGGAUAGAACCAUACUUUGUGCUUGCUUGAAUUUAAUACUUAUAUAUCAAUUCCCUACUCUAGGCUUUUCAUCAGGAUUAAUAAGUAGUAGUGAUGCAUCACUUCCCUAAUAGCCUACAGCUGGCAAAACUUAGGUUAUGAAACAUCAUGUGUCAACUGUCAAUUUUAUAAAUGUCCUUAUAUUAUGUCAUAAUCUUCCGACAUGAUUUCAAUGUUUACAGGUGUACUACAAUGCAGUAAACUGAUCGUGUACAUUUCUUAAUUUUCCAUAGGACCUCUCCAUCCUCGAGCCCUUCUUCUCCUCUCUCCGCGCCGUCUCGCCUCCCCUGCUCUCGCAGCGCCACCUUCCCUGCCCGGCGCUCGAGGUGCAGCAGUAGGCGCGCCAUGAUUUUGGAUCGGGCGGAUAUCUUCGCCAGGAGAGUAGGAGCACUUGCUGUUAAUAUGAACGAUCUCUCACUAAGUUUUUGUUAUGACGUUGUGUGCCGAUUCAUGAUUUAAACACGCAAAAUGUUUGGUUUGCAUAUUUGUGCCUAGCCCUGUUACCAGCAGUGUAUUUUUUGCUGUAAGAAAGACAGCAGUGCUUUAUUUCUUUGACUUUUUGAUCGUGUCUAAUUUCUGGUAAAAGAGAGGAAUUUGAGAGAGAUAGACAACCUGAAGAGCUUUGAAUGGUUGUUCGAGUGUGCCGCCGGCCUCCUCGCUGCUGUUGUUUGCGUAGCUGGCACGGUGUGUGGCUACUGCCGAGAUAAGCGCAGUUUACUCCAGGUUUGGUGAUGGUGUUGAACAACACCUUAACUGGGCCAAGGAAUUUAGUAGCAUUGCGGGAUCAUAAACCAGUUUUUCUGUUCUCUGUGCUCACAUAGUAAGAACAUGCUUGCAAGUUCUUUUCCCUAGGUGUAAUUUCUUUUGCUGAGAUAGAUUAAGCCUGGGUCGAGGUGGCUGCUGUGUGCCGGUUGCCAGUACUUGUUUGUUGUAAUGUCUUACCCAGUGAGAUUUCUUUUCUUCUUGCCUAUUUUCAGAGGUUCUGCUUGAAGAUUCUCUAAUCACUUUCUUUGGAUUUUUUUUUCCUGAGAUAUGCUUUCAGGUUACUUCAAUGUUACCAGACUUAAAAUGUACUAUCUAGCAUACUAGCACGUGUGUAUAUGAUGCCUCUUUUUAUCCUUGAAUGUAAGACACAUGGUGUUUUGUUCCAUUGUUAUGCUUAACGGAAGUGAUGUUCUGUUAUCAUAUUCAAAACUAUAGCUCUUUGUUUGCAGUAUCUCGAAGGGAGCAAUAUUUUGAUACUUGCUUUAUAGGAAUUCUCUUUCUUUGCCUAGAAUUUGUGAUUUAUGACUGAUGUCAAUUCCACCUUUGUAGGUGCUUCUCAAUUAUUACUAAUUUUGAAACUGCAGAGGAGCAGGAGAUGAGGAGGGCGCCACUUGGUGUACAAUGGUGCAUGAUGCGGCAGUUAGACCGGGAGAUGAGGAGCGCGGCACUGGGUGUACGAAGGAUUAGUAGGAAGAAUGUUAAUCACAGUGGGUGAAAAGAAAAUGCGAGCUCGGCUGAUUGCAUACUAUUUGGUUGAGUUGUUUUGUCCUAAAGAUACAAUCAAGCUGAAGAUUUCUUUUCUAUGGAAAUUCACCAUGGGAAUCGAAAUAAUGGUACUCUGCACAGCCUUUACUUUCUUGCAUCGAUUCUUCAUUCUACAAGUCACACCUUUUCUAUUUGGUAAAAGAGGAGUGAGCUCAUGCUUGAACUUCCACUAUAUAUGUUAACACUUGGAUACUGUAUCAAUCCAGUAAUCAUCUGAUCCUUCAUUGUUUUCCCUUGCAUUGCCUCCUUUAACUCUUCUGGACCUUUGAAAAGAAUGAUUUUUCGGUUAUAUAAUGUAUCAUGUUUUGUUUCGUUGUUGAGAGGUAGAUGGUAAAGUAGGCUGGUAUUUUCAUUUUGUUCAUAUGCAGAUAUUUGAUAUAAGUGAAUAUAUACCUUUUGGUAGGUGAAUGUGCUCUCCAUUAGUAUCACUGAUAUAUUUGAGCUUCAGAGAAGGAUAUCUAUGCCUUUUGUUUUUGUUUUUUGAACAAAAGAGUGUUGUAUGUGUAUCGUUAAGGGGAUGAAGCAGCAAAGUUACCUACGCAAUUUAGCAGGAUGUGGCUGGUACGUACAGAGUGGUUUACUUAGGUUUGGUGUUACUGCUAUCUCUUUCGUUGUAAAACUGCAGAGCGGCAGAGUUUAUAGAUUUAUCAACCAUGCUUUUGGUGCCAGUAGUUUUGUAUUUAAGAUGUAGCUGUUGUGCAGCUCCAUGUGUCUGUGUGAUCUGAUAUAUAAAUAUAACAUAACAUUCUGAAAUUGAUAGUUAUUCUCUAUAUAUGAGAAAGCAUGAUAGAGUUGUGUAUUAGGGGUAAAUAAUAUUUUCUGCUGUUUGAUAAAACAGUUAGGCGGCUACCCUGUCUGUCAUAUAUUUUGAUUCUCCUUUGACGAAAUUCCUAUCCUUAAAUGCCAUUUUCUCCAUGGUUUUUAUGUUUUGCAUUGUCCAGUACAGGAUACUGAAUUAACAGUUACACGAAAGUUUAGCACACACUUUUCUAAGAGACGGGAGACGGGACCACCAGUGUCAUGGCCCUCUUUAUCAAGGGCGUCGACAAUAGGGCUACACUCACAAUGAACUGGAACAGCUUCUUCCAUAAGGCAAACAUGAAGAAAGGGUGUACAUAUGCUUUCGCUUUCAAGUGCACGUCCAAGGGCCUUUGCAUGAUUGUCUAUCCAAUCUAAGCAGGUCACAAUAGUCCUUUGCUACGUAACUUGGUAUUACUAUAAGUAUUUAUUGAGACUUUUAUAUCUGGCAUCAUUUUGGAUCUUAUGUAAAAAAAUUAUGACAAUCCUGUUCGUAUGGCUAUCAUCAAUCCGUACUA
rnacentral:rRNA from 1 species